UACGGGGGGGGCUAGCGUUAUUCGGAAUGAUUGGGCGUAAAGCGCACGCAGACGGUUUAUUGAAGCAUUUAAUAAAAGACUAGAGGAUAACUCUUUAUACUAUUAUUUGGACUGAUAGACUGGAGUUUGUAAGAAGAUAGCGGUACUUUUAGAGGAACAGUAAAAUGUGGUGAUACUAAAGGGACCACCAAUAGGCGAAGGCGGCUAUCUAGUACGGAACUGACGUUCAGGUGCAAAGGCAUGGGGAGCAAAUAGG
rnacentral:rRNA from 1 species